AAAAUGUCUUUUUCAUACAGUUGAAGUUCAACUGUAUUUGUAUUUCCUGCAGUUUUGCUGUCCACAUUGAUACCCAUUGAAAAGUGAUGACUGCUUAGAAAUUUUAAAGAUUUUUUUUCUAAUUUGGCUGACCAAGUUAACAGAUGUCUCAUAGAAGACUUUUUAUACUAAUUCCUCCUGAUGUUAGCAACAUUUCAAGAUAAAGACAAAAUUACCCUCUGCCACCUCUCUCAGCUUGACAGAGCUGCUAAUCCCUUUUUACUCAGUUUCUACAUUUGAGGUUUCUAUAUCUUCAUAACCAUCUCUGUUUCCUUAUUGGAAAAUGCCUCAUCUGUUGUGAAUUUUAAGUAAGCAAGUCAUAAAUUUUGACUCGAUCCACAUUUUAAUGGAGAAGAGUCAAACAGUUCAAAACUUAAGCUGCUGAUCUUGGUAUUAAGGGUAAUUUCUAAUAAAUUAACUGUGGUCGUGUGUAUGAAAAGAGACAGAGGCUUCUCAAUGAUUUACGUGUUGUUUUCCCAGUUUGUAGACAGUAAGGCCUAAGAAGGUCUUCUUGUCCCUCUUUUUAUUCUCAUUUUAUUAAUUUCAUUAUAUGUAACUAAUCAGAAAUAUAUAUAACAAAGUUACUAUUUCCUUGAAGUGUAUUUACUAGCAGCUGACUCACAAUAGGAAAGAGGUGAAAAUUGUUUGCUAAAAUGAAAUAUUAAGGCUAUGAAACAUUUUAAUUAUAUACAAUUAAGAAUUCCUACACAUAAUUAUCUAAAGGCUUCUCUCUCUCGCUUGAAUCUAGGUCUGAUCUGCCUUCAUAGGAUUCUUUCAUUCCCUUAAGGUCACAUUUCAACAAUAACAAAGAGAUAAGCUGUUAAAUACUUGAUCAACCAAUUUAGGCAGAAUGCCAAGUUACCAAUUUCUCACUCUUAUCCCCACUUAAUUGACUGAUGGAGUCUAAAUGGGCUAGUGGAUCCAAUCUCAAUUAAACAUGAUUUGGGGUAGGAAAGACACAAUAAUGCCCAUGUUUUCAAUAAAGCAAACCAAUAAUGUAAGAAAUUAUUCUAACCUAAUCCUGUAGUCUUCAACCAUGCACCCAGCCCUCUAUACUGGAGAAAUAGUUAAUUAGCCUCUUGGAAAGCUGUCUGAUUUUUCAGAAGUUUUGAACAAAAGCAAAUAAGACAAAAUAAAAAUCAAACAAGUACUAGAUGAUUAUUAACUACAAGAAACCCAUAAAGCAGUGUCCCAGGUUUAGGAAGGAAAGAUGCAGACAAAUACUGGAAGAUGAGUUCCAGUGGCUCUGGCCACGACAAACCCCUGUGAUGAAAUGUUCUCAGUCAGUAGUUAUCUCUGUGGAAUUCCAGCCUGACCAGAGUGAGAUUUUCCCAGAAGCAAACUUUGACCUCACCCACUGCGAUAUAAACUUAUUCAUGGAGGGAAAAUUAAAUUUCCUGAGGUUAUGAAAUAUUAAGAAGAUGACCUGAAAUGAAAGGGAGUAAGAGCAUAGUCACCAGCCGGGCCUCUGGAGUUGGACUGUAGGGUUAAGACCCUAGAUCAUUUGCUAGCUGUAUGAUCUUAAGCAAUUUCCACAAAUCCAAAAUUGGAAUAAUUAGAGUAUAAUAUAUAUCCAGUUUUUCUGAAGAUUAAGUGAGAUCUAACAUAUAAAGCAUAUAUCAUGGCAUCUGGCAUAUACAACACCAGGAACAAAUAUCGUGAAUAUCAUUAUGUUUGAGCCAAGACUCAACAAAUAGUUGAGCUUUAAUUCUACAACAAUCAACUCUAUUCGUUAAUCAUGGGUAUAGAAUGUUAAAUAAGACUAAGUUUUUGGUUUAAAAAAAAACAAGAAAACAAGUAAACAAUUAUAAUGCAACAAGUUAUUUGCUAUGUUAGAGGUUAGCACAGAAUCUUCUGGGAGCAGAAGGGUAUAGAGGAAUUUUUUCUGGAUAUAAUGAAAACUAUGCCCCAAAUACAGUAAUAAGCGUUUAUGAAAAAUUAUCAAAAAUAUGGCUCUUCCAUUUAAGGCCAUGAGACAGUCUAAGUUAACUCAAGUCUUAAUUUAAGCCUUAUUGUUUCAAGGUCAUUGAUAUUUGCAAAAAAAAAAAAAGUACCUAAAUCAUACUCACCCCCUUUUAGUUCUUCCAGUUUCCCUCCAAUCAGAGAUUUCCUUGUUUCUGUCUAAAUUGUAAUAGUCAUUAAACAGUAUCCUAUGGAGAAAAAAAAAUUUAAAAAUCAGUAAUUUAAAUAAAAGUAGCUUUAUGAACUCUAUGUUUUUAAGCAGGAGCUCCUUCAUGUAUGCAUGAAUUAAAGUUAAAAUGUGGACCCAGUAAUAUCUGAAAGGAAAUUCCAUUGUGGCAUAUAAUUUACUCUCUAGUUCUAAAAUUAUUUUCUGAUAUCAUUAAUAUAUUAGCCAUAAUUAAAUUCUUAUGAAUGUAGAGUAGGUAAAAACACCUUGGUGCCUCUCAAACCUGCAUUUGAUGAAUAAUGUGAAAAAUAUAUCCCCCAACACCUGCUGAGUUCCAACUAUAAAAUAAAACCGGUAGCAACAAUUUUAGAUUAGCAUUCAACAAUUACCUUACAUUUAUUAGUUCUUUUAAAUGUUUUAUUAGAAUUGAAACAACCAAUAUUUGCUCAUGUUUCAUUAAAUCCCAUUUUCAAUGUUCAGCUCAAACCUAGUGAUAAAGGAGGGUCCUUUGAGCUUAGUGGUAAUAUCAUCUAAGCCUGAAAAUAACAGAAAAGACUUCAGAGUCAACAUCUCUUUGGUCUAAGAUAACAAGAAUACCUGAAUAAUUACUCAAAAUUAUAAUACUAAUAAAACAUGAAUAAAGAACCACUUACAGUUCAUCCGGUAUGAAUUAUUUUAAGCAUGUCUAAUAAAAGAAAGCUUUAAAAGAGCAUUAGCAGAAUUUAUUUAAUUGCAAUGUGUGCAGGGCAGUGUUAUAUUAUGUACCUGUGGCUUUUCAGAAUCACACACAGUCUUGUGUUUAAUGUGUAUAAUCAAGCAAGAAAAUAAUAAAACUAGAAACUAUUCUUCAAUGGUAAAUUUUUGCCCACUGAGCUGUCAAUUGUGGAUGGAUUCAUGAUUGAUCAGAAUAAUAUACAAUGGCACGGUGUAAUUCUUUAGUGUGAUGUUGUAAAAUGGAGUAUUGCUUCUGUUAUUUUAUCCAGUUUGCUUUUAUAUGACAGGGUUUAUUGUGCGUUAUGUUGUAGCUCAUUCCUCUGUUCACAAUGCCUACUGAUGUGUAAUUAUGACUUGUCUGAACUGUAAGAAGGAGCAGUAAGUGAAAGGAAAUCUGCAAGCACGCUUGAUUUAUGAGUCCUGAUACUAUAUUACAGUCCUAAUCUGCCUGCUUAACUUAGCUUCGGGCUAACUUACUGUAUAACAUGCUUAUGAUUAGCACUGUAGCAAGUUGCGGAAGAUUUACUCUGAAGGAGCUACUAGACUUUUUAAAAAAUGAUUUAGCCAUUAUUUCAGUUACAGGUAAAGAAAUAAAUUAUUUCUUUUAUAAAGACUCAUGUCAAAGAAUGACCAUUAUGAAGGCAUUUUUUUUUUUUGUGGUAACAAAGAGCAGAAUGUGGAAUUUUUUUCCAAGUUAAAUAUAAAGUUAUUGGUUAUGUUUUAUGAUAAAACUGGCCAUAUUACUUUUCUUCUUUUUUUAUUUCAUAUACAGUAGCUUUUGCCUGGUGCUAUAAUUGCACUAUGAGAAUAUCUAUUUUGAUCCAGGGCAUCUUAUUUUUUUGCAAGAGUAGCCAAAAAUAGAAAUUACUAUGGAUGAGCAAAUGAAACCAAACCCAUAAAGCAAUGACCUCAGUGUCAGCAAGGAAAGAUGUAAGCAAAUUUGCCUUUUUUAAUCACCAUGCACAAAGAAAGAUACAGCUGGAGUUAAGCAUCACAGUACCGUUAUUGAAUCCUAGAAUAUUCAAUUCACAUGCUUUUAGUAAAUUAAAGUUAUAAAUUACCCUUUGUUUCUUCAGAUUCAAUCUGAAUCACCAAUAAGAAAAAUAUUCUUCUCCAAAGCUUAUUUGUGACCAGGUUUUGUUAAAUGUCUAGCAGAAAAAAAAAAAAAAAAACUUGAAAAAUCAUCUGUAGCUCAUACUUUGGUAUGAAAUAAACAGCUUUGUGCAUUAGGACAUGCAAGCAUCUAUGAGUCAUCACAGAAAUAUCAAUGAGAUGGAUAUUCCAGAAUUUUUUAAAAAUCCUAUUGUUUAUACAUCUUAUUAUUGUCUUUUGUUCAGCUUGGAUUCUAUUUCCCUAUCUUCUAUUUCUCCUGAAUAUUGCUUCUAUAAUCAGUAAAACAUGGGUUUUGGAUCCAAUGAACUGAAAUAUAAAUUAUUAACUGAUUACUUCAUGAUAAAAUGCAAAGUUCCAAGAGUAGCAUAGAAUUAAACUCAUAGUGGACAACAGAAGGGCUGUGAUUGUGAACACAAGUAUCCUCAAACUUAUACAACUCUGGAAAAGUUAGAACAGUAAUCUUUUAUAAUGAACAAUACACCCUAUUACAAACUGGAUUUGCAAGACAUGCUUUAGCAAUAUUUUUGGUCAUUCCAUGCUGAAUAAUUAGUUCAUUUUCUAUUUCUCCGCACAAAAUGUCAGCCUUAUUUUGGCUUCUUGAGGUGAAUUCGUACUAAGAACCCUUCAACUGCCAUAAUAUCAUUUAGUAAAUGUGUGACUGACGAGGGGAAUUUUUCUUAUUUGGGCAUCGUUGCAGAUAGCAUCUGCCAGAAUGUGCAGAUGAUAUUUACUGAAUUAAAGGUCUAAGUAGUGGGAGAUAGCCCUAAAUAUGCACUUCCUCUACCAAUUAUCAAAUUAAACUUGAUUCUUAGCCAUUUGAACAUUCAUAGUUGGAAACCAAAACAGUUUAUAUGCACUGUAGAUUCAAGUCAACUUCUUUUAAUUUGGUACUUGCGAACUGUUUCUUUAAUGGUGAAACUAUCCUUGGAAAAUGAGAGAAGGGGCUGCAUACCAUUAGAAUGAGCCCAUAAACCAUAUAAUGUUCUUGCUACACCAAAUAUUUCAAGGCUGGACUAGCUCACCCUCAGAAUAGACAACAAUCUCCUCUCUAUGCAACCAUCCUAAUCAGUAAGAGCAGCAUUCUCUUGAAUGGAUGAGUUUAAAAGAGUAGUUACCAGUUUUCUGAUGAGAAACUUAAGACUAAAAAUAAAAGUAAAACUGCCCUGGGGAGGAACUGUUGGUUAACAUAUUUUCAACAAGAGUCUCCUCUAUUACAUCCAAUAAAGCUACAUACAGUCUCAAGUGACCACAUAUUUAACUACGACUCAAGCCAUACCUUAUUAAUUCACUUGAAAUGGUAAUGUGUUUACUUGAAACUCUAAAGUCAUCUGAAUUUCUUCACCUUUCAUGAGCUAAAGUCUCCAGCCAAUUAAAGUCCAUGUACCCAAGAUCUUGGGUCUGAUUCUCCAGUCUUCAUGUGGGAAAAUUUCCCAUGGCCAUCAAUGCCUUUUGCACAAUUAGGUCAUCAUUACACUGUUUAGCAGGCUUUUCUAGGUGAAAACUCAUGCAAUGUGCACAUUGGCAAAAGUUCUUGCACCAGUAAGCAAAUCAACUUCAGGAAGUAAAGAGUUUGAUAAUUUUCCCAAGUUUUUCUUCCAAAAAUAAUGAAGAUGGCCUUGUUUUCUUCUAGUCAAAUUUCUCAGUAGACAAAUUUGAAUUAUCAAGAAGAUAGCAAGACAUCUUUGAUUGAUAAUCACAUUAUACAGUAAUAAAUGAAUCAUCAACCUUAGAAAAGUCAUCUUACCCAGCUGCUUCAUUAGCAAGCAUUGCUAUUUUCUCUCCAAAAGAGCCUUGGACCAGAUAUCAAAAAAUCUGGAUUCUGUUCCCUUCGCCAUUCGAUAUUUCUGAAUCUUUACAUGUUAUUUCAUAUCUAUUUAUCUUUUAAUAUUUCUUAACAAUUGCCUUAAACACAGAUUUUUGUGAAAAUUAAAAGCAAAAAAGAAAAACUGUAUAAACGGAGAUUUAUAUAUAUCUAAAUAAGUUGUAUAUGUGUAUAUUAACACUGUUAUCACCUGAUCAUAUUAUCAUAAUCUCAUUGGGAUUUCCAUCUCAAAUUGCGCCUCUUAAAUAAAGUUGCCAUCACAACAGCCAUUCAGUUUCCCAGACCCUAACUUAAUCAUUGCUAGUCACAGCAUGUACAUGGCAAUUUUACUUGCAGGCAUCAGGGCCUCCCACAAAGCUCCCAAAGUAAAUUUUCUGUCCAACAUAACUAAAUUUCUCUUACUUCUGUGUGGAAACAAGCUAUAUAUCUGGAAGAGUCUCUUCUUCAACAUUCUUACUCAGCUCCUUUAGAGAGGAAUUUAAAAUCUACAUCCUUUGAGAAUCUUUCCCAAUUAAUAGAGAUUUGUUAUGCCAUUUGCAUCAUCCCGUGCCACCUCAUCAAGUCUAAGCCCUGUGUAUAAACAACGAUAGCAGUGCAGCUUAUGAAUCCAUAUUAUUUAUGUUUCUUCCUACUCAAUUUGUUAUUUGACAUGUAUUAUAGUCAUGCCUGCAUUUUUGUUAAGUCUCAAAGACUAAAAAGAACUAAGACUACCCAUGCUCAGAGAGUAUGUCAUAUUACAGUGGAGCUAUGCAUUUCCAGGAGAUGUCAGCUUUCCUUUCCUGAUAAUCACUCAAUGGAAAGACAACAUUUACUAUAAAUAUUUAGGUAAUGUAUAAUGACCAUUUAGUUGGGUUGACUUCU
rnacentral:lncRNA from 1 species